rnacentral:rRNA from 1 species
UACGGAGGGUGCGAGCGUUGUCCGGAAUCACUGGGCGUAAAGGGCGCGUAGGCGGCAUGCCAAGCGUGUGGUGAAAGCCCGGGGCUCAACCCCGGGUCGGCCGUGCGGACUGGCGUGCUCGAGCACUGUAGGGGCGGGUGGAAUUCCGGGUGUAGCGGUGGAAUGCGUAGAGAUCCGGAAGAACACCGGUGGCGAAGGCGGCCUGCUGGGCAGUUUAGCUGACACUGAGGCGCGACAGCGUGGGGAGCAAACAGG